UACCAUGUAUUUACCCAUGUAUAUAAAAAAAAAGCAGGUACCCCGUGCAGAUGCGGCUACUGUUGUGGGUGGGUAGUUGAAAAGGUAUAGGAUCGUAGUUGUUUAAUUUAUACCUGUUAGCAACGAUAAGCCAUUGCUAACAAAAAACGAUUCUGAGGGAAGAAAAAAUCUAAAAUAAAAUAAAUAAAAAAAACGGUGAGUUUUCACGAUGAUUGUUUAAAAAAGAUUAAAAUAAUAAAUUUAUCCUUCACUUCACUUAGAAUCUAAAAUAUAACAGUGAUUUUUAUGUAUAUUUUUUGUGGGUUUAAUUUAAAAGUUUAGAUAGGGACCUACAAUGCUGAAUCUAGGGGAGGGGGCGAAGCGAGGCAUUUGUCCCCCUGGACU